rnacentral:rRNA from 1 species
GACGAACGCUGGCGGCGUGCUUAACACAUGCAAGUCGAACGGAAAGGCCCUGCUUUUGUGGGGUGCUCGAGUGGCGAACGGGUGAGUAACACGUGAGUAACCUGCCCUUGACUUUGGGAUAACUUCAGGAAACUGGGGCUAAUACCGGAUAGGAGCUCCUGCUGCAUGGUGGGGGUUGGAAAGUUUCGGCGGUUGGGGAUGGACUCGCGGCUUAUCAGCUUGUUGGUGGGGUAGUGGCUUACCAAGGCUUUGACGGGUAGCCGGCCUGAGAGGGUGACCGGCCACAUUGGGACUGAGAUACGGCCCAGACUCCUACGGGAGGCAGUAGUGGGGAAUAUUGCACAAUGGGCGGAAGCCUGAUGCAGCAACGCCGCGUGCGGGAUGACGGCCUACGGGUUGUAAACCACUUUCGCCUGUGACGAAGCGUGAGUGACGGUAAUGGGUAAAGAAGCACCGGCUAACUACGUG